rnacentral:rRNA from 1 species
AGUGAACGCUGGCGGCAGGCUUAACACAUGCAAGUCGAGCGGCAGCGGGUCCCUCGGGAUGCCGGCGAGCGGCGGACGGGUGAGGAAUGCAUCGGAAUCUGCCCUGUUGUGGGGGAUAACCUAGGGAAACUUAGGCUAAUACUGCAUACGACCCACGGGUGAAAGCGGGGGAUCGCAAGACCUCGCGCGAUAGGAUGAGCCGAUGUCCGAUUAGCUAGUUGGCGGGGUAAAGGCCCACCAAGGCGACGAUCGGUAGCUGGUCUGAGAGGAUGAUCAGCCACACUGGGGCUGAGACACGGCCCAGGCGCCUACGGGAGGCAGCAGUGGGGAAUAUUGGACAAUGGGCGCAAGCCUGAUCCAGCCAUGCCGCGUGGGUGAAGAAGGCCUUCGGGUUGUAAAGCCCUCUUGUCCGGGAAGAAAUCGUCUGGGCUAAUACCCCGGGCGGAUGACGGUACCGGAAAAAUAAGCACCGGCUAACUACGUG